ensembl:lncRNA
AUUUUUUUUCCCUCUUCUGUUUCUCCUUUCUGAACCAGUUGAACUACAGUCUCGCACAAAUACACACUCGUUCAAACACACCACCUCUCUUGUGUCUAUAGCUUUUAUAAAGUUUAUAGGAAGCAUUUUUGUCAUUGGAAAACAAACAUAUACUGACUGUGACUGUCAAUGUAGGAAGCCAUGUCUGAUUUUUCAGAUUAUGAAAUAUAAGAGUGAAAUAUAGAUCGAGAAACAGACAGAAGUUGAAUUAAUAUUAAUAUUUGAAAUGCAUGUCAUCAUCAGGAAUCAGGCGUGAUGGGCAGGGCAUGUUGUGCACAUGGGGAAUACCAGAAUACCAAAACAGGCCUUCUGUGGUGAGCUGAAGAUUAGCAGUGACCUGAGGAAGCUGAGGAAGCAUAUGUGAGUUCUCCUGUAUAUAGCUGGAUUUGUCAAGUCUCAUGAGAGAGCAUAUGUGCACCUUAUCUCAUAAAAUAACACAUGUGCUGUCUGUAGCAAAGUGUGCAAAGCCAUCAGUUUACUAUAUAAAAGGGAUGGUUCAUACUUUGUAGAGAAAAUCCCUAUAUGGAAAUAUAUGGAAAUAUAUGGAAAUAUAUGGAUUUAGCUUGUACAACUCAGGUGUAAUAUGUAGUGAUACGAAGAUAAUGGUAUGUUGUAAAUUUGUUCAUUUGGGAACUUGUAUGAGUUUGUCUGAAACAUCUCUUGAGGUUUAUAUGCAAGUUCAGCUAUGAAAUUUCCACCUGAGACCACCAUCUGGUUGAAAGGUGCUAGCCCUUGUGUGUUACCAUCUGUGACUUGUAAACAGCAUUGUGGUGUCAGUGUGCCCUUCAGUGUGUAGGGGGUUACAGUUUGGAAUGCCCCAAAGCUAUUCCCUUAUUUUCAUUUCCUGUUAGCAAGACCAAGGACAAAGAUAAUGGCCACUGAAAACAGUAUGAUUCUAGGAAAAGUGUCUGUGGGGUGUCUAGGUCAUGCCUCAAUGGCUAAAGUUUUAACAACAGGAACCGGAAGGUUGUUGGUUUGAAUCCCAG